GAUGAACGCUGGCGGCGUGCCUAAUACAUGCAAGUCGAGCGAACGGACGAGAAGCUUGCUUCUCUGAUGUUAGCGGCGGACGGGUGAGUAACACGUGGAUAACCUACCUAUAAGACUGGGAUAACUUCGGGAAACCGUAGCUAAUACCGUAUAAUAUUUUGAACCGCAUGGUUCAAAAGUGAAAGACGGUCUUGCUGCUACUUAUAGAUGGAUCCGCUCUGCAUUAGCUAGUUGGUCAGGUAACGGCUUACCAAGGCAACGAUGCAUAGCCGACCUGAGAGGAUGAUCGGCCACACUGGAACUGAGACACGGUCCAGACUCCUACGGGAGGCAGCAGUAGGGAAUCUUCCGCAAUGGGCGAAAGCCUGACGGAGCAACGCCGCGUGAGUGAUGAAGGUCUUCGGAUCGUAAAACUCUGUUAUUAGGAAAGAACAUAUGUGUACGUAACUGUGCACAUCUUGACGGUACCUAAUCAGAAAGCCACGGCUAACUACGUG
rnacentral:rRNA from 1 species